GACGAACGCUGGCGGCGUGCUUAACACAUGCAAGUCGAACGAAGAGCGAUGGAAGCGUGCUUCUCUCAGUCUUAGUGGCGAACGGGUGAGUAACGCGUAAUCAACCUGCCCUUCAGAGGGGGACAACAGUUGGAAACGACUGCUAAUACCGCAUACGAUCGAAUCUCGGCAUCGAGGAUAGAUGAAAGGAGGCCUCUACAUGUAAGCUAUCACUGAAGGAAGGGUUUGCGUCUGAAUAGCUAGUAGGAGGGGGAACGGCCCACCAAGAGGAAGAACAGUAGCCCGUCUGAGACGAUGAACGGCCCCAUUGGGACUGGGACACGCCCCAGACUCCUCCGGGCGGCAGCCGUGGGGAAUCUUCCGCAAUGGACGGAAGUCUGACCGAGCAACGCCGCGUGAGUGCUGACGGCCUUCGGGUUGUAAAGCACUGUUGAUCGGGACGAAAGGCCUUCUUGCGAAUAGUGAGAAGGAUUGACGGUACCGGAAUAGAAAGCCACGGCUAACUACGUG
rnacentral:rRNA from 1 species